GAACUUCAAAUGCAAUAGGUGGUGCACCAAGGAAACCUCCACUUUCAAUUCUUUCAAAUUUAUCAAUCUUGUAGGUGUACUUUUGUGGCAGCUUUGAUCUCAUCUGGUACUUGAAAAUUGUCGCUGACACUUUGGUUGUGGGUUGUCCUUCUUUUCUUCACAAGUGGUGGUAUACAGUCAUCGGCGGCUACUUGUUCUUUCUCCUGAGAGUCUGUCAUGACUCCUAGAAUGACAGGGAAUAAUGAUAAUUGUGAUCUGUCUGAUGACAUAAAUAUGUGGAAGCCCCUCUAUACAAGACACUUUACAUAAACCAACGGAUUAGUACACUGGGUAACAUGAUCAUGACGUAGAAAAUUAACCCUAGGAGAUAAUUUGAUAUCUAGAGUCAAUGUUAAUUAACCAAAACUUAUUUGAUAUAGUUACCGAAACAAUAUAUUGGAUUUACGUCGUUGUACAUCGUGCACACAUACCUGUCUAGCGAAGAGGUAGCUAUCAAACACAACAAGGAAUUCCGUGCUUCUAUGCAGUCAUGCACAAAAGAAACAAAUAGAAUUGGCGUCUUCACGUUUUGCCGCGUACACGUGAGAGACCGGACGUGAACGUGAGUAGGCGUCAAUUUGCUGCCACAAUGAUAGCUGUGUCCGUCAAUCUGACAUACCCACACAGAACGUGAAAACGAAGACUCCGAUCAGACAUGAAGCAUGCAGUGCAGUCUACGUCUAUAACAACCAGCGCUAUUACUUCACAACAUGCUACAUUACUCAUUCAAAGUUUUGCUACAAAUGCUGAUCUGCAUCCUGUGAGAAAAGAAAUAGCGACUGCUGCUGUUGCACAUACACAAUGGAAGUUGCCUAUUACAAGUCACAAAUUAUAGAUCUGACCACAAUGUUUGGACGUUAUUAUAAUUAUAGUUCUAA